UUUUGAUUUUGCACCCUCUCUUUCCUUGUUUUUUUUUUUUUGAUUGAUUUUUUUUGAUGCCCCGGUUGGCUGUUCUGCUGAUUCUCGGGAUGCCGCGGAGUGAUCUUCUUUUCUUGCUCAAGAAGUCGGGAAAUCUCGUCAGGAAUCCCUUCAAGCAUCAUCUUCUUCCGCUUCGAAUACAGGGAAUUCAAAAUUGGGAGAUGACGUCCGAUCAUUAUGUUCAAUGGGUUUGAGAAACAACCUGCAUAAAUAUUUUGAUAUGAAAAGCUCUUUGAAAAUCAAACAAGACAAUCGUUAUGCAGAUGAAAAGAUUGCUUUUAUUCUUGUUUUUAGGGUUUUUUGUGAUCACCAAUUUCAUGCAAAAAGCGAAAAGGGAAAACAAAU
rnacentral:lncRNA from 1 species